AGCAGCCGCGGUAAUUCCAGCUCCAAUAGCGUAUAUUAAAGUUGUUGCAGUUAAAAAGCUCGUAGUUGAAUUUCGGAAUCUGUCCGUCGGUCGGGCUUCACUGUCCGUACUGGCGUGGUGGGUUCUUACCUUCUGAAUAACCAGCAUGCCAUUCACUUGGUGCGUUGGGGAAGCAGGACUAUUACCUUGAAAAAUUAGAGUGCUCAAAGCAGGCUAGUGCCUGAAUACAUUAGCAUGGAAUAAUAAAAUAGGACGGCAUGGUUCUAUUUUGUUGGUUUCUAGGAUCACCGUAAUGAUUAAUAGGGAUAGUUGGGGGCAUUAGUAUUCAAUUGUCAGAGGUGAAAUUCUUGGAUUUAUUGAAGACUAACUUCUGCGAAAGCAUUUGCCAAGGAUGUUUUCAUUAAUCAAGAACGAAAGUUAGGGGAUCGAAGACGAUCAGAUACCGUCGUAGUCUUAACCAUAAACUAUGCCG
rnacentral:rRNA from 1 species